rnacentral:tRNA from 1 species
GGAGAGUUGGCAGAGUGGUCGAAUGCGGCAGUCUUGAAAACUGUUGAGGGUCACACCUCCAGGGGUUCGAAUCCCUUACUCUCCGCCA